UUCGCAGCCCGACUUGAGCGGAAAUCCUUUUUUGCUUUGGGAAAGCUUAGGCAAAAAAGAUUGGGAGCGGAAGGCGGAAAAGCUG
rnacentral:sRNA from 1 species